GCCGGGCAUAGUGGUGUGUGCCUGUAAUCCCAGCUACUCGGGAGGCUGAGGCAGGAGAAUCGCUUGAGCCCGGGAGGCGGAGGUUGCAGUGAGCCGAGAUUGCGUCACUGCACUUCAGCCUGGGUUACACAGCAAGACUCUAUCUCAA
rnacentral:SRP_RNA from 2 species